UACAGAGGGUGCAAGCGUUAUUCGGAAUUAUUGGGCGUAAAGAGCGUGUAGGUGGUUUGGUAAGUCUGAUGUGAAAUCCCUGGACUCAAUUCAGGACGUGCAUCGGAUACUGCCAGGCUAGAGUGCAGGAGAGGUAGGCGGAAUUCCAGGAGUAGAGGUGAAAUUCGUAGAUAUCUGGAGGAACAACAGAGGCGAAGGCGGCCUACUGGACUGCAACUGACACUAAGGCGCGAAAGCGUGGGGAGCAAACAGG
rnacentral:rRNA from 1 species